ACCAGACUCCUACGGGAGGCAGCAGUGAGGAAUAUUGGUCAAUGGUCGGGAGACUGAACCAGCCAAGCCGCGUGAGGGAGGAAGGUACAGAGUAUCGUAAACCUCUUUUGUCAGGGAACAAAGACUGGGACGCGUCCCCGGAUGAGUGUACCUGAAGAAAAAGCAUCGGCUAACUCCGUGCCAGCAGCCGCGGUAAUACGGAAGGUCCGGGCGUUAUCCGGAUUUAUUGGGUUUAAAGGGAGCGUAGGCCGGUCUUUAAGCGUGCCGUGAAAUUUUGUGGCUCAACCAUGAGAGUGCGGCGCGAACUGGAGACCUUGAGUGCGCGGAAGGCAGGCGGAAUUCGUGGUGUAGCGGUGAAAUGCUUAGAUAUCACGAAGAACCCCGAUUGCGAAGGCAGCCUUCCGGCGCCCUACUGACGCUGAGGCACGAAAGUGCGGGGAUCGAACAGGAUUAGAUACCCUAGUAAA
rnacentral:rRNA from 1 species